GACGAACGCUGGCGGCGUGCUUAACAUAUGCAAGUCGAACGGUGAUCUUGGGAGCUUGCUCUUGGGUGAUCAGUGGCGAACGGGUGAGUAACACGUGAGUAACCUGCCCCUGACUCUGGAAUAACUUCGGGAAACCGAAGCUAAUACCGGAUACGACACAGAGCUGCAUGGCUACUGUGUGGAAAGUUUUUCGGUUGGGGAUGGACUCGCGGCCUAUCAGCUUGUUGGUGAGGUAAUGGCUCACCAAGGCGACGACGGGUAGCCGGCCUGAGAGGGCGAUCGGCCAAACUGGGACUGAGGCACGGCCCAGACUCCUACGGGAGGCAGCAGUGGGGAAUAUUGCACAAUGGGCGAAAGCCUGAUGCAGCGACGCCGCGUGAGGGAUGAAGGCCUUCGGGUUGUAAACCUCUUUCAGUAGGGAAGAAGCGCAAGUGACGGUACCUACAGGAGAAGCACCGGCUAACUACGUGCCAGCAGCCGCAGUAACAC
rnacentral:rRNA from 1 species